rnacentral:lncRNA from 1 species
GGCAUCUGACAUGAAUCAGGAUGUAACUUAGGGGGGUUACUGAACUGUGUUAUUGAGGUGUUGAUGGCUCUCAGUUCUGCACCACAGCAGCUGAAGCUCUGUUGUAAGGGAUGGAUGACUAAAUGACAAGGCACAGAUGAUGUGCCUCCUGUGGAAGCAUCUAUGGAAGAUGUAAAUGGGUCAGCAAUAGAUGAUGCAAGAACAAGGCUGAACUUCCAGCCCAUUAGGCUCUGUGGAGCCAGGCGGCAGACGGGUGAUGUGGUGUGUCUGCAUACCUCCCCCAGGCACUGGAGAAGAGGUAAGAUGCAAAACCCUUCCUGCACUGCAAGGAGGUACAAGAUCCUUCUCAUCCUCAAGGGAACACACUGCUUCACAAACACACUGUGGCAACUUCCCGUGCCACAGGGGUGCCACGGGACAAGCUCACGGACUGUGGGAAUCACUCCUAGAAGAGACAGGGAUGGCAAAAGGAGAAGGCAUUUGCAAAGCCUUCUGAAAUGGUGCCUCCCCUGGCUAAAAGGGCUCACCUUGAAGGCACCUGAAGGGCUUCUGAGCCACUCCAGACAACUUCCCAGUGCUGACUGUCCUGUGUGAAACAAGGAACUUGGCUCAGUCAGGACGGCAGAGGUUUGUCAGAGCCUGUGUCCCACUGGAAAUGCCUUCAUUCUCCAACUUGAAGUGUUUGUCUCUUCUAUCAGCCUUGGCAGUGGGGCAGUUUAAGGGAUCACUCCACACUUCUGUUGGCAUAAAGCUGGUACCUAUUUUCCCUGUGGAAGCAGGAGUUACUGAACUGGUUUAGGUGACUGUGACUAGAGUCCCUGUGAACAGUGUGGGUUAUUUUGGCACAGGUACAGUGGAAAAGUGCUAAUCCCCUCAUCUGCACUUGUUAAACCUUUUAAUUAAAGAUCACUUUGAUGAAAGUGCAAGGCUGAGAGGUCAGGGUUUUGCUACAGCACUCACCAGAGACUCAAGAAACAGCAGCUGUGAGUGGUAGUGAGCUUUGAGAUCUGUCUUUCGAGCCCUAGUGGAAAAGAUGAAGAGGCACCAGCUCCUAUGCUCUCCAUCUCUGUGGGGCAAAGCUAGACCCAGAGGAAUUUGGGUCUGAUUCACAGCUGAGCAGGAAAGGUGACCUAGAACUGCCCCACAUCAGUGAUUUCAUGUAAGUCAUCUGACAGAUGUGUGAGGGAUUCACCAAAAGAGGGAAAUGAAUAACUUUCAAAACCACCUUGGAGGACUGGGUUCUCAGAUGAAAAAGUGCUGAAAUGUGUGGAACCCAGGAAGAAAAGUGCAGCCACAAGAGCACACGGCUCCUCUGGAAAGAAUAAGAAUGCUGUGAAUUCUGAUUGUUUGCUUGCCCUUUUUUUCCUCCUGUGGUAUUUACAGUGCCCUGGUACUCACUCAGCUUUCCUAGCUAACAGCUAGGGAGGUGGAUGGAGCUGCCUGGAAUCCUGGCACCAGACACCUGACAGGCACCUUCAUGCUUCAGGCACCCUGCAGGAGGGCAGAGCCAGCUUGGCUGUGUUCCUGUGUGGGGAACAGGACCCCAACAGAGUGGGGAUUCCCCAAUGCACCUGCCCCUCUGACUUCUGGAAGAAGUUCCUCUCAAACCUGUGUGUCAUUCCCAGGUAUCACUCCCAUUUCCCUGGGGAAAUACUGACCCUGAUGGCAGAAUAUGGUGUGUUUGAGAUGCUGAAGACACCAAACUACUGUUUGCUGGGGUCUCCAGGCUGCCAGGCUGGCUGCCAGCUUGUUAAACACUCACUGAUGUGCCAUUAGGGAGCUGAAGUGUCAUCAGUGUUAUAAACCUGAACCUGUAGCUUAAUUUAGGGGCUUGUCAGACAUAUGGUAAUGGGCUGGUAAGGCUUGGUGAAAGGUGGCAUCUGCAGGCAUCUGCACAUUUUUAAUCUAUGUAUACAAUAAAAUAUUACACAUUAGCUUUUGCUCUUGCUGG